rnacentral:rRNA from 1 species
GAUGAACGCUAGCGGCAGGCUUGACACAUGCAAGUCGAGGGGCAGCAUUCCAGCAAUGGAGAUGGCGACCGGCAAACGGGUGCGGAACACGUACGCAACAUACCCUUCUCUGGGGCAUAGCCCGAAGAAAUUCGGAUUAACACCCCAUAAGAUAACAAGCGUGGCAUCACGCGGUUAUAAAAAUUUAAUUGGAGAGGGAUUGGCGUGCGUCCUAUUAGCUAGNGGUAAGGGUAACGGCCUACCAAGGCGACGAUAGGUAGCUGGUGUGAGAGCACGACCAGCCACACGGGCACUGAGACACGGGCCCGACUCCUACGGGAGGCAGCAGUGAGGAAUAUUGGUCAAUGGACGCAAGUCUGAACCAGCCAUGCCGCGU